AUGGAUAGGAACCGAGAACACAGCAAAAGCCAUCCGAGCAAAAAAAUCAAGAUGCCAAGAAAAAGUUUUAGACUUUGUCAACGUAAUGAGUAUGGUACUUUCUCUUUUGGUGACCGCUGUCUUAUGCUCAAGACCACAUCAUUGUACCGUGAAAAAUACAACCGCACGUCUCUUGGAUUAGCACUUGACAACUACAAUGAACUCAUGAGGAGAGGCAUGCUCACAUGGGAAGCUUACACGAAACACCACCUCGCCAUCAACAGCUCAUUGCAAAUUAUUAGGAAUAGCAUCCAAAAAUACAAAGAACGUCGCUUGCAGGCGGGGAUGUUUUACUUGGUGCCGUAUACAGAAGGAGAAGGGCUGGAAACCCGUACACACUUGUACCACAUGCCUCUCAAGGAAGCGCUAAGGAAACGACGGCAGGAAAUGAAAAGGAGGAAACAACUAUUGGAUGCAUCCGACAAUUCCAAGGAAUAUUCGAACAUCCUAGACUCCAUGCUGAGACCGUCUGUGAAAAUGUUGGUCAUGUAUACCUUAUCUUCCAUUGUAUUAGGAUGUGUGAUACUGUGUUUUUGA
rnacentral:rRNA from 1 species